rfam:Gimesia maris DSM 8797 1101493009141, whole genome shotgun sequence.
UCCGGUGACUUUACCUGAGAGGCCACACGCGUUCCCAUUCCGAACACGACAGUUAAGCUCUCAGGGCCGAUGAUAGUGCCCACCAGUGCGAAAGUAGGUUAUUGCCGGAU